GCCGCCGUGUCGUUCGGGAAGGGCCCUCGUCUUGCGCCCAGGAGGCUCGGUUUCGAUUCCCACCCAGACCGAAACAAUGCAAUAACACGUGUGUAAAGGAGUGGUGCCCUGAAGUUACAAAUCCAGAUUAUAACACAUACCUGAGGGAUGCUCCUAUGGAUCCCGAACUAACGAUGUUACUGGAACAAAGAAAACCAGAUGGGCAGAGCCAAUGUGGUCAUGUCUGGUGUCCCGCAAUGCUACUACCUUGUGUCAAUAAAUGGCUCCAAGACGCCGGUCCUGAUCCUGAAACUGUGUCGACCAGCACUACAGCCGCAACAACGACAG